rnacentral:lncRNA from 1 species
AUACUUGGGGGUAGCUAUAAUGAACUGUAUCCGGCAUCUUGUUCUUACCUCACAGCCAUAAAGUCAAGACCAACCACACGUUCCCCUUAAAUAAGACAUCACGAUGGAUCACGGGUCUAUUACCCUAUUAAUCAGUCACGGGAGCUCUCCAUGCAUUUGGUAUUUUAAUCUGGGGGGUGUGCACGCGAUAGCAUUGUGAAACGCUGGCCCCAGAGCACCCUAUGUCGCAGUGUCUGUCUUUGAUUCCUGCCCCAUCCCAUUAUUGAUC